rnacentral:rRNA from 1 species
UAGGGAAUCUUCCGCAAUGGGCGAAAGCCUGACGGAGCAACGCCGCGUGAGUGAUGAAGGUCUUCGGAGCGUAAAACUCUGUUAUUAGGGAAGAACAACUGUGUAAGUAACUAUGCACGUCUUGACGGUACCUAAUCAGAAAGCCACGGCUAACUACGUGCCAGCAGCCUCGGUAAUACGUAGGUGGCAAGCGUUAUCCGGAAUUAUUGGGCGUAAAGCGCGCGUAGGCGGUUUUUUAAGUCUGAUGUGAAAGGCCACGGCUCAACCGUGGAGGGCCAUUGGAAACUGUAAAACUUGAGUGCAGAAGAGGAAAGUGGAAUUCCAUGUAGAGCGGUGAAAUGCGCAGCGAUAUGGAGGAACACCAGUGGCGAAGGCGACUUUCUGGUCUGUAACUGACGCUGAUGUGCGAAAGCGUGGGGAUCAAACAGG